rnacentral:lncRNA from 1 species
GUAAGCUAUUGAGGAGGUUUGCAGUAAAGAUAAUAUGCUCAAAGUAAAUGCAAACCAGAGAGCACCGUAAUUUUAGAGUGGUUCGAUCAAUCUUGACCUACAUCCACUUCUGGCUUCCUCCACCGACGAGGUCACCGACGUCCACUAGAGGCCUUCCUUCAAUAGGCGAAGGCCAACCACCCUUUUACAGUUUCACUCCU